rnacentral:lncRNA from 1 species
ACGGCGCAUUCAUGCGUAAGCAGUUGCAGAGUCUGCAUUGGUGUUAGUAUAAAAAACCGCAGCGAUAACAAAACUGCUUUUCACUUUCCAAUUUCAAGACCCAAACAAUUCCCAACUCCUCCAAACUCUGCCGCCAAAAUCAUACACUCUCAACGCACCGUUUAAACACAGUCACUGUACUACUUCUCCUCCGUCUCCUUUACACCACCGUUCUUCCAUUUCUCGAAU